AAAGUGCGAUAAGCAAUGCGAAUUGCAGAAUUCCGCGAAUCAUCAGAUCCUUGAACGCAACUGGCGCUAGGAGGCUCUCCUUCUAGCAUGUCUGUUUCAGUGUCUGAAAACAUCACAAUCUAACUUAAUGUAGUUGAUGACGAAAAGAGAAUCUUCUCUUUCUCGAAAUCUUCUAUUAAAGAUGUACAUGUGGGUCUUUGGACCCCUCAUCGAAUUGGUCACUGUUUCCUCAGUGAUUUCGAUAGGGGAAAUUAUUCAAUUACCUAAAUGCAUGUAGGAAAACAUUCAAAAACUUCAAACUCUGCAUCUGAAAUCAGGCAAGAACACCCGCUGAACUUAA
rnacentral:misc_RNA from 1 species